rnacentral:rRNA from 1 species
UACGGGGGGGGCAAGCGUUGUUCGGAAUUACUGGGCGUAAAGGGCGCGUAGGCGGGCCUCCAAGUCCGGGGUGAAAUCCUCCCGCCCAACGGGAGAAGAGCCUCGGAGACUGGGGGCCUCGAGGGAGGUAGGGGCGUGCGGAACUAUGGGUGGAGCGGUGAAAUGCAUUGAUAUCCAUAGGAACUCCGGUGGCGAAGGCGGCACGCUGGACCUCUUCUGACGCUGGAGGCGCGAAAGCCAGGGGAGCAAACGGGG